AAAAUACUUUCACAAAGACAUUAUUACUGGAUCACUUGAGAGAUGUUACACCGACAUUCCAGUUUUCCUCAGUUUCAUGCCAACGGUGGCUGUCGGGUGUCUGUAACCCGAUAACCGGGUCGUGUGGGGAGACAGUGAGAUUUUCUGGCUUUGUGCACCACUUUCUCCCACUUGUGUGAAUUUCAGUCACCUGAGGAUAGAUGGACAAGUGGAAACAUAAAAUUUAGGAUGAAAUUGGUGACGUUUCGACUAAAGAGAACAGUGGGGAGCCCGACAGUAGUCGGGGCAAACACAGCUGUCAAAGAUGAUGCUGUAAUUUUCACAAGUUAAGAAUUUGGAGUGAGUCUGGAAAAUGUACAACUCGUGCAUGUUUGGUGUAACUGCUGCUCCCAGGUGAAGAGAAAACUGACUCAGGCUGCAGCAAACCAGUUGGAAGACUGCUCAUAAAGUUUUGAUUGCUUUUUCUUACCAGGCUAGUUGAACGAAUGGCCCGCUUGCAGAUGAGAUGGUGAGGCGAGCCGUACUAAGCACAUCUCUAAUGUGAAGUACAUCAAAUACCCUGCAAGAUGUGUGUGACCUACAUUGUGGCAGAGCUUGUUGCCAUCGGUGACAGACAACUCGCUUAUUGGUUCUAUGAGGUAUUUAACGACGGGGGACAUGUUUAAAACCAUCGCUCUAAGCUACCGCAUGGGUCAAAGGACAGUGUCGAAGAUAGUUUGUGAUGUGUGUGGAGCGAUAUGGAAGCAUCUACAACCCAUUUAUCUACCCCAGCCAACAACAGUUAGUGGGAAAAUAUUGCUUCUGACUUUGAGAGGAAAUGGCAGUUUCACAACUGUCUUGGAGCUGUUGAUGGGAAACAUAUCAUUUUGCGAAAACCUCAAUUAUCUGGUUCCUCGUUUUUCAAUUAUAAACAGCAUUGCUCUGUAGUAUUAAUGGCUACUGUCGAUGUUCAUUACAGAUUUACCUCUAUAGACGUUGGUUCAAUGGGCAGAUUUAGUGAUGGAAAUAUUUUUUCUAAUUCAGCAUUAGGAAGAAAACUGACGUAACUUUAAAAAUCCCAGGAGAUAAAUUGCUUCCUGGACAACAAAAUAGAGCCCCUUACGUUUUCGUAGGUGAUGAGGCAUUUCCAUUAUUAAAAAACUUAAUGCGACCGCACCCUAAAUGCAGAGUUACUGGCAAUGACAAAAAUAAAGUUUAUAAUUACAGACUGUCUCGUGCUCGUCAAACUGUAGAGUGUGCAUUUGGUAUCUUGAGUUCCCGAUUUCGUGUGUUUAAAUGGCCUUUUGAGUGUAAACUAGAGACUGUAGAUAGAAUUGUGACAGCUGCAUGUGUACUUCACAAUUACUUGAGGACUGAUAACAUUACGUCAAAUGAUCUCGCCGAGGUGGACGACAUGGGACCACUGAGUACCAACCAACUUCUGUCGCCUGCUCCAAGUAGGUGCAGAAACACGAGUGAAGCUUUUCUUAAGAGAGAAAAAUUUAAUGAAGGUUCUGUUCGAUGGCAGUAUGCAGCUAUAAA